UAAAGAUCACUCCGGCUGCUGUGUGAUGGCUUAUAAAUGCGGCCAGGAGAAAUGCAGCGAGGCUAAUUGCAAAGAGAUGGCAAGAGUGCAGAGAUGGGGUCUCACUAUGUUGCCCAGACGCCCGGGCUUAAUCGAUCCUCCUGUCUUGGCCUCCCAAAUUGCUGGGAUUACAGGAACAAUAACUCAGCCUUCCCUAAUUCAGUGCUGGUGGCAACUUUAUAGAACACAGCUACUGCAAAUAACAAGAAUCAACUGCACUUAUCUUUCCUUUGAGGACAAAGGAACUGAGGCACCAAGAGGUUAUGGAAUUUAACCAAGAUCACACAACCAGAGGUGGAGGAACUGGGAUGUGAACUCCAGCAGGCUAGUUCCAGAGUCCAUGCUCUUAUCACUACACUUCCUCUGAAGUUAUACUCACAGGAAAAGAGCAACUGGAAUCCAAUUUGUGUAAGAGACUGGAAUAUACUCUCUACCUCAGAAGGCGGCCAAGCCUCUCUGUAGACCGUUCAUGGCUUCUGCUGCUGGGAUGCACUGUCUUCAAUCUUUCCUCCCGCUGGUUCUAUGGCUGCUGAACUGUGACCUCUUUGAGAACAGUGACAUCUCCUACACCUCUCGUACAUCCCUCCACUACUGCAUGUAUCACCCUGACCUUUAAUCUAUUCCCUCCAUCAUUCUUGAAGUCAGGUACUUGUUUCUAUCUGUCUGUGUAACCUAAGCAUUUAUGACAGCAUCUGGCACAAUGCAUAGUUGGUUAAUAAAUAUGUGUGGA